AUGCUUUUCCAUGGCCGGGGCCUGCUCGACGGCGGCAUCCGACUCGCGGGGAGGCUGCUCCUUGGCCUCGGACUCUGAUCUAUCUGCAUGCACGGCAGACAUGACCUUCUUCGAUUGUGUUUAUGCAUGUGUGCCCUUGGAUUUCAUACUUCUUAGUUCUUGUGCUCCAUUCCUGCAGCUUUGUCUUUCUUUUUCCCUUUUUCUUUAACAUUCAGCAUAAUAUGGUCUUUAAUUUUGGUACAGUUAAUCUUCCUUCGCAAUUUCUGGCCGUGUUUGUUGUUUAGUAGCAAGUGAAAUGAGGUGCUGUUUCGCUGGUGUAAGGAUUGCUCUCUGCAAUGUUCACAUAAGUUGUUUAUGAGAAUAUUAUAGCUACUUGUGUUUCUUGCAAUGUGGGCAAAGCUUCUCUGCUGAUCUCUCCGCGCGGUCAUUCUUUCUACAGCAUGGCAAGAAAAGUAUCAUGAGCAAUCACCACCCCCAAGCAUCGGAUCGGAGAUGCCGGUUACAAUAUUCUAAUUAAACUGAACCUACAAAUGAAACUACAUAUAUGAUGCUGCCUCAACUCUCUGAUGAACACCUGGAUGUCAACUCACGGAUCACCUGUUCAAAAUCAUCAGGUGUCAUGAUAUACUCAAUGGAUUACGAGUCAAUUUCAGAGUAAAGAAAGCCCUAGUAUGAAUGUCCGAAUCGGAUUGCGAAUGCAAAGUUUUGUUUAUUUUUUCCUUGAUUUAUUUCAACUUGCAAAAGCUCGAGAUUGAUCGAGUAACUACGUUUGGGACUCCC
rnacentral:lncRNA from 1 species